GUACACGCUGUGACUAGCAUAUCAAUAAGCGGAGGAAAAGAAACUAACAAGGAUUCCCCUAGUAACGGCGAGUGAGCGGGAAGAGCUCAAAUUUGAAAUCUUAAAGGGUUUCCCUUUACGAAUUGUAGUUUAAAGAAGUGUUUUCUGUUGAGGUUUUGGUAAAAGUUCUUUGGAAUAGGACAUCAUAGAGGGUGAGAAUCCCGUAUUUGACCUUUACUUUCAACUUUGUGAUACACUUUCAAAGAGUCGGAUUGUUUGGGAAUGCAGUCCAAAAUGGGUGGUAAAUUUCAUCUAAAGCUAAAUAUUGGCGAGAGGACCGAUAGCGAACAAGUACCGUGAGGGAAAGAUGAAAAGAACUUUGAAAAGAGAGUUAAACAGUACGUGAAAUUGUCAAAAGGGAAGCGUUUGACACCAGUGUUGUUUUUCUGAAAAUCAAUUAAAGAACUGUUUAUGCUAAGCUGUUUAGACUUUAUCAGCUAUCUGUUUAGUUUUGAGCUUUUCUUUAAUGCACUUUUCAGUUAACAAGUCAACAUCAAUUUCUUUUGCUGUAAAAAAGCUUGAGGAAGGUGGCUUGAGAUUCGUCUUAAGUGUUUAUAGCCUCUUGCCUAUGCAGUCGGAGAGAUUGAGGUCUGCAGCGUAGAUCCUUCGGGGCUAAAUGCAUUUGUGCUAAGUUAUAGCAUUUUAUAGACAACUUGUUGACUAUGAUUUGUCUUGUAGCUUACUCGCUUAUGUUAUUUUACCUACGCUUAGGAUGUUGAUAUGCAUGACUGAUAU
rnacentral:rRNA from 1 species